GGGACCAUCCAACAUUUCACACUUCAAGACAACAAUUAGAAAGGAAUCCAGAAAACAUGAAAGUGUUCAUUCUUGCACUUUUGGUAGUGUUGUUUGCCAAUCAGAACUUAGCCUUGCAGUGUUACUGUGGUGGCAGAA